UAGGUUGAGGAGGCGGCCAACACUGUUUUUAUUUUUAUAUAUAUAUAUAUAUAUAUAUAUAUAUAUAUUUUUUUAUUUUUUUUUAAUUGGGGUAGCCCCCAAAAUAUUGGGACAUAUAAAAAAAGACAACUCUGUUCCACAGAGUAGCUGCUGAUAUUAUAGUUGUGCUAGAACUUUGUUGACUCUAGAGAACCUCGUGCAAAUCGCACAUCCCCGUGGCGGCGACUUUGCAUGCGGAUGUCAUUCAUAUCAACUUUCGAUGCUAGUUUCUGCGCCUACCAUGGUGAUCACGGGUAAUGGGGAAUCAGGGUUCCAUUCCGUACAGGGACCCUGAGAAACGGCUACCGCAUGCAAUGAAGGCAGCAGGCGCACAAAUGACCCACUCCCGACGCGGGAAGGUAGUGACAACAAAUAACAAUACAGGACUCUGUAGAGGCUCUGUAAUUGUAAUGAGUCCACUUGAAGUCCUUUAAUUUUGAUCAUUUGGAAGGAAGUCUGUAGUGUAGAACAUAUCAGUCUGUU